rnacentral:rRNA from 1 species
UUAAGCGACUAAGCGUACACGGUGGAUGCCCUGGCAGUCAGAGGCGAUGAAGGGCGUGCUAAUCUGCGAUAAGCGCCGGUAAGGUGAUAUGAACCGUUAUAACCGGCGAUACCCGAAUGGGGAAACCCAGUGUGAUUCGUCACACUAUCAUUAACUGAAUCCAUAGGUUAAUGAGGCGAACCGGGGGAACUGAAACAUCUAAGUACCCCGAGGAAAAGAAAUCAACCGAGAUUCCCCCAGUAGCGGCGAGCGAACGGGGAGGAGCCCAGAGCCUGAAUCAGCAUGUGUGUUAGUGGAAGCGUCUGGAAAGGCGCGCGAUACAGGGUGACAGCCCCGUACACAAAAGCGCACGUGCUGUGAGCUCGAUGAGUAGGGCGGGACACGUGGUAUCCUGUCUGAAUAUGGGGGGACCAUCCUCCAAGGCUAAAUACUCCUGACUGACCGAUAGUGAACCAGUACCGUGAGGGAAAGGCGAAAAGAACCCCGGCGAGGGGAGUGAAAAAGAACCUGAAACCGUGUACGUACAAGCAGUGGGAGCACAGGUUUACCUGUGUGACUGCGUACCUUUUGUAUAAUGGGUCAGCGACUUAUAUUCUGUAGCAAGGUUAACCGUAUAGGGGAGCCGGAGGGAAACCGAGUCUUAACCGGGCGUUAAGUUGCAGGGUAUAGACCCGAAACCCGGUGAUCUAGCCAUGGGCAGGUUGAAGGUUGGGUAACACUAACUGGAGGACCGAACCGACUAAUGUUGAAAAAUUAGCGGAUGACCUGUGGCUGGGGGUGAAAGGCCAAUCAAACCGGGAGAUAGCUGGUUCUCCCCGAAAGCUAUUUAGGUAGCGCCUCGUGAAUUCAUCUCCGGGGGUAGAGCACUGUUUCGGCUAGGGGGCCAUCCCGGCUUACCAACCCGAUGCAAACUGCGAAUACCGGAGAAUGUUAUCACGGGAGACACACGGCGGGUGCUAACGUCCGUCGUGAAGAGGGAAACAACCCAGACCGCCAGCUAAGGUCCCAAAGUCAUGGUUAAGUGGGAAACGAUGUGGGAAGGCCCAGACAGCCAGGAUGUUGGCUUAGAAGCAGCCAUCAUUUAAAGAAAGCGUAAUAGCUCACUGGUCGAGUCGGCCUGCGCGGAAGAUGUAACGGGGCUAAACCAUGCACCGAAGCUGCGGCAGCGACACUGUGUGUUGUUGGGUAGGGGAGCGUUCUGUAAGCCUGCGAAGGUGGCCUGUGAGGGUUGCUGGAGGUAUCAGAAGUGCGAAUGCUGACAUAAGUAACGAUAAAGCGGGUGAAAAGCCCGCUCGCCGGAAGACCAAGGGUUCCUGUCCAACGUUAAUCGGGGCAGGGUGAGUCGACCCCUAAGGCGAGGCCGAAAGGCGUAGUCGAUGGGAAACGGGUUAAUAUUCCCGUACUUGGUGUUACUGCGAAGGGGGGACGGAGAAGGCUAUGUUGGCCGGGCGACGGUUGUCCCGGUUUAAGCGUGUAGGCUGGUUUUCCAGGCAAAUCCGGAAAAUCAAGGCUGAGGCGUGACGACGAGGCACUACGGUGCUGAAGCAACAAAUGCCCUGCUUCCAGGAAAAGCCUCUAAGCAUCAGGUAACAUCAAAUCGUACCCCAAACCGACACAGGUGGUCAGGUAGAGAAUACCAAGGCGCUUGAGAGAACUCGGGUGAAGGAACUAGGCAAAAUGGUGCCGUAACUUCGGGAGAAGGCACGCUGACACGUAGGUGAAGUGAUUUACUCAUGGAGCUGAAGUCAGUCGAAGAUACCAGCUGGCUGCAACUGUUUAUUAAAAACACAGCACUGUGCAAACACGAAAGUGGACGUAUACGGUGUGACGCCUGCCCGGUGCCGGAAGGUUAAUUGAUGGGGUCAGCGCAAGCGAAGCUCCUGAUCGAAGCCCCGGUAAACGGCGGCCGUAACUAUAACGGUCCUAAGGUAGCGAAAUUCCUUGUCGGGUAAGUUCCGACCUGCACGAAUGGCGUAAUGAUGGCCAGGCUGUCUCCACCCGAGACUCAGUGAAAUUGAACUCGCUGUGAAGAUGCAGUGUACCCGCGGCAAGACGGAAAGACCCCGUGAACCUUUACUAUAGCUUGACACUGAACAUUGAGCCUUGAUGUGUAGGAUAGGUGGGAGGCUUUGAAGUGUGGACGCCAGUCUGCAUGGAGCCAACCUUGAAAUACCACCCUUUAAUGUUUGAUGUUCUAACGUGGACCCGUAAUCCGGGUUGCGGACAGUGUCUGGUGGGUAGUUUGACUGGGGCGGUCUCCUCCUAAAGAGUAACGGAGGAGCACGAAGGUUGGCUAAUCCUGGUCGGACAUCAGGAGGUUAGUGCAAUGGCAUAAGCCAGCUUGACUGCGAGCGUGACGGCGCGAGCAGGUGCGAAAGCAGGUCAUAGUGAUCCGGUGGUUCUGAAUGGAAGGGCCAUCGCUCAACGGAUAAAAGGUACUCCGGGGAUAACAGGCUGAUACCGCCCAAGAGUUCAUAUCGACGGCGGUGUUUGGCACCUCGAUGUCGGCUCAUCACAUCCUGGGGCUGAAGUAGGUCCCAAGGGUAUGGCUGUUCGCCAUUUAAAGUGGUACGCGAGCUGGGUUUAGAACGUCGUGAGACAGUUCGGUCCCUAUCUGCCGUGGGCGCUGGAGAACUGAGGGGGGCUGCUCCUAGUACGAGAGGACCGGAGUGGACGCAUCACUGGUGUUCGGGUUGUCAUGCCAAUGGCACUGCCCGGUAGCUAAAUGCGGAAGAGAUAAGUGCUGAAAGCAUCUAAGCACGAAACUUGCCCCGAGAUGAGUUCUCCCUGAGACUUAGAGUCUCCUGAAGGAACGUUGAAGACGACGACGUUGAUAGGCCGGGUGUGUAAGCGCAGCGAUGCGUUGAGCUAACCGGUACUAAUGAACCGUGAGGCUUAACCUU